CAUAGUCAUUUCAACCACAAAGUUCGACACAUAAAUAAGUUUGAAGACCGCAAAUAGGUUCAACACACAAAUAAGUUCAACAUCUCAACACACAAAUAGGUUCAACAUCUCCAACAUGAAACCGAACGGUCCAAACCAACUUGACUUGCUUUCAUCUUCUCUCCACUUCAUGAGCCUUGACAUCUCAAAUCAUCAAUUCCUAGUAUGGGACAUAUAAAUUGCAAGACCUGAGAACUUGAGAGUAAUGAGUACAAGCUAUGUUUAGUUUGCAAUUCUUAUGUACUACUAAGAUAACAAGAAUAGAAGAUAACAUGAAUACAACAUAUCUUUGAUGUGCAACUCCGAAGUAGUAAUAAGAUACAUCAUAACAAGAAUACAAGAUAUGUUUGAUUUGAAUUCUUAAGUACUACCAACUACUAACCUGCAUCCCUUCUUGAAUGUCUUGAAGACAAG
rnacentral:lncRNA from 1 species